CAUAAGUCAUGAUUCAGCAAGGUCUUCUGGCGUACAUAGAUGUUCAUAGGAUCGUCAGGGUAUGAGAGCGUUUGUUCAAGUCAAGUGAGCUAUCUACCAAGUGGGAUGAUUACGAGAGUGACUGUGUCAGUGUGUAGGUGUGUCCAAGUAGCAGAUUGGACUGAAGACUGCAGAUAAGGUCGGUUCCUCCCAGCUUCUGGGGGCUCUCUUCCAACCA